rnacentral:rRNA from 1 species
AUUGAACGCUGGCGGCAGGCCUAACACAUGCAAGUCGAACGAGUGGCGGACGGGUGAGUAAUGUCUGGGAAACUGCCUGAUGGAGGGGGAUAACUACUGGAAACGGUAGCUAAUACCGCAUACCAUCAGAUGUGCCCAGAGGGGAUUAGCUUGUUGGUGGGGUAACGGCUCACCAAGGCCACGAUCCCUAGCUGGUCUGAGAGGGUGAACAGCCACACUGGAACUGAGACACGGUCCAGACUCCUACGGGAGGCAGCAGUGGGGAAUAUUGUGCAAUGGGCGCAAGCCUGAUGGAGCAAUGCCGCAUGUAUGAAGAAGGUCUUCGGGUCGUAAAGCACUGUCAUUGGGGAGGCGGUACCUGAAGAAGAAGCCCCGGCUAACUCCGUGCCAGCAGCCGCGGUAAUUC